rnacentral:rRNA from 1 species
AUGGUUAUUACGACGUGCUGGGUUUUAUUGGCCGACAUGAUUAAUGAUUGCUACAGAUAUUAUAAAGGGUGCGAAGCUUGUCAAAAAUUUGGUGAUCUUCAAUGGGCUCCUGCUGCUAUGUUGCAUCCUAUUAUCAAGUCGUGGCCUUUCAGAGGAUGGGGUUUAGACUUUAUUGGGCAAAUUUAUCCAUCUUCCUCAAAGGGGCAUCGGUUCGUGUUGGUGGCAACUGAUUAUUUCACUAAAUGGUCUGAAGCAGUACCUCUCAAGAACAUGACACAUACGGAAGUAAUUCAAUUCAUAAUC